ensembl:snRNA U1 U1 spliceosomal RNA
AGGGGAGAUACCAUGAUCAUAAAAGUGGUUUUCCCAGGGUAAGGCUCAUCUAUUGCACUUUGGAUGUGCUGAUCCCUGUGAUUUCCCCAAAUGUGGGAAAAUCAACU